GUGCUCAACAACAUGGAGCUACUAAACCUGACGGGAUGCACCCUGUUUUUCCAUGAUAAAUGUGUGUUGAAAUCAGCAGGAGGAGAGUUAGUAACGUUAUCUGUUAGCAGCCGGUGGGCAGCACAGUCCUGCUUGGAUAAAUAAUGGAGAUACGAACGUCAACGGUGGUGCCAUUGAGUUAUUAUUAUAAUAAUGCUCAAAAAACAGGGCUCCCCCAGAAGCCACGGUGUAAUUUGAACACUGUAAUUUACCGUGUAUAUAAUGUUUUUUAUGUCAAAUAUAUCGAGCAUUGAAUGAUAUCCAAUCUGAAAUGUUAUUCUCUUAUGAAGCGCAGAGAUUUCAAAAGUGGCAGAUAAAAUUUCUGAGUGGCAGACAAAGAUAAAUAUUUGUCUGCCACAGUGGCAGGAAGUGAAAAAAGUUAAUUUCAGACCCUGAUUGAAAAGUAUUUAGCUAUUUGCUGCUAGGAAUUUAGAACAAAUUGAUAUCUACUGUCAGCUUUCUCUCAAAGUAGGAGCUCUCUUACCUUUCUUUUUAACAAAAAUAAAAGGGUUUCAAGUUACAAAAAUAAAAUGGAUACAAAAUAACAACAAAAAGUCAAAACGGUUUUAAAAAAUGCUCUAAUGACAAAGUCAAAAAUGCCUGUCAGGAAAGAUUUCUCCCAAAAAGGGCUACAAAUUUAAAAAAGUCUCUCAAAAUGAAAAAAGAGAAAGCCCAAAAAGCCCCGUUUUCUGUUGUCUCUCUCUAUUUAUACUUUUUUUCCCGAGCAUCCUCCGUCUCUAGAUCCAUAUAUGGUUCAAACUUAAACAUCACCAAAUGAUUGGAUCAUCCGUUCUAAGUAACAUCUUUGAUCUUUUUAUGUUUUUAUAGUCUUGUUCUUGACACCCACACCUAUUGGAGAAGUGACAUCCUGUUUUUUCUGUUUUUAUAUUUGGCAGAUUUCAGCAUCAAAACCACAGAAUGUUUCCUGUUCCAGCUGAUAGCACGCAUAUUCUGUUCAACCGUUCACUGCAGUUUCACAAAUAACUACUACUCCUUCAGUUUUCAUUUGGGUGGUUAAUUAAAGUUGAUUAAUUAAGCUAGAGAGAUAGGUUCAGGUGAGGUGUGUCUCGGACAUUAUAAGUGCAUACUUCAACAGUUUCUACCUACCAUAUACCGAGUCUUUCCUUAAAAGCAUUCUUGCACUCAUUCAUAUAAAUAAAAAAAUGACAGUUCAAGUAGUUGUAAAAUCUGGCUUACUUUCACACCUCUACUGCAUGAAGCAGGUGUGAGUGUCUGUUACCUUGGUGCUCUGGGAAAUAAUGAUGGACAUAUUUCACUAUUUUUUUUUACAUUUUAUUGAUUCAACCACUAAGAGAAUAAUAGAGACAAUAAUCGGCAGAUUAAUUGAUAAUGAAAAUAAUGAGUAGUUGCAGCUAAGUUCAGAGUUGUUGUGUUUUGGCAUCUGCCAAUCCUUCAACUCAUUCAUUCUUUGAUCAAACUGGACUUGUAGCCAUGUGUGUGUGUGCCACUUUCGGUCUGAACGCCCCAAUAAGGUGUACGGUGCUUCCACUUCCACCAACAUGACCAACAAUUCAGUUGUGGCCUGUGCAGCUGAAUGAACACAUUCUGUGUUCUAUAAUGCAGACCAUGUGGACAGUGGAGUGAAAAUAGCACCGUACAACUGUCAAAGAUUGCUUCAUAUUAAAAACUGCAGCUGUCCAUUUCCCUUUUAAAGAUGUAAUUUACAAUAUGUCAUACAAGCCCAAUAACAUAAGAUACCAAAUAAAUAAUAAUAUAGAGGUACACAGCUUGUAACCAGCUCUACAUUCUGGAAUACUAACCAUGAUGGAGUGCUCACUAUUACCCCUUUUGUUGUGAUUCUGUUGUUCUGUUUUUUGUUGUUGGUUGUGUUGUGUUUGCCUGUUCUCUCUGUUCUCUUCCUCUCUGUAUUUUUCUCUUGGCAGGGCCUGUGUGUGGCGGAGGUGUGGCUGGCUCCGCCUGCAGCAGCAGAGGACGCACAUCGGUUCUCACUCAACCUCAUCAACCUCACCAUAAAAGCCUGGAUUCCACUCCACUACGGCGCCAGAUAAUUCCGUCUUGUUCGAUCUUCCGGUCUGCCUCGCUGCUGCUGCUGCUUCCGCGUCUUCAGUGACUGAGUUUUCCAUGUGCUUAGUCCUCGUGGUCCGAUCCCUCCGAGGCCACGAGCCGGCCAGGCAGCUCCUUGCCCUUCUGCCUGCGUUUUUUCUCUUUGUUGUAAAAUAAACUCUGUUUAAUUUUUUA